CUACGGGAUGCACCAGCGGGGAAUAUUGGACAAUGGGGGAAACCCUGAUCCAGCAAUGCCGCGUGUGUGAAGAAGGCCUGCGGGUUGUAAAGCACUUUCGGUUGGGAGGACUGCUUCUAGCACUAAUAUUGUUGGAAGUUGACGUUACCUUCAGAAGAAGCACCGGCUAACUCCGUGCCAGCAGCCGCGGUAAUAGGGAGGGUGCAAGCGUUAAUCGGAAUUACUGGGCGUAAAGCGCGCGUAGGCGGCUAGAUCAGUCGGGUGUGAAAGCCCCGGGCUUAACCUGGGAACUGCAUCCGAUACUGUCUAGCUUGAGUACAGGAGAGGAGAGUGGAAUUCCACAUGUAGCGGUGAAAUGCGUAGAUAUGUGGAGGAACACCAAUGGCGAAGGCAGCUCUCUGGCCUGAUACUGACGCUGAGGUGCGAAAGCGUGGGGAGCAAACAGGAUUAGAUACCCCGGUAGUC
rnacentral:rRNA from 1 species